AGUAGAGGAAGCGGCAGCCUGAGGCUGAUGUGAGCACUGGGCUGGGAGUCAGCGGUUCUAAGUGUGAGCACUGGGCUGGGAGUCAGCGGUUCUAAGUGUGAGCCCCAGCUCUGCAACCUACCAACCUAUUUGGGACUCUCCACUUCUCAUCUGAAAAUGCAUAGGCCAGAAAUAGCUGCUGCCCUGUCUGCUGUUAUCAUCUCAGUCAGUGAACAAGUGUGUGGGGAUCAUCAGUCUGUACCAGGUACCCCUGUAGACAUGGGACUGGCAUUGUGCGUUCAGACAUGGGCCCUGACUGCACGUCUCACAUCCCAGUGGCGAGGAGACAGACAGCAAACAGGACAAUGAGCUCCAAGCAAGGAUGGUGCAGGAAGAGCUCAGGACGGAUCUUGCCACCUCCAUCUUAGCCAGAGGGUUUUCCUGAGCUCAGGAGCCAAGCUUCUCAGACCCAUUCUUGCACACUGCAAAUUUCUAAUCCAUUGCUAAGGGCCACUAAUCCCAAACUGAAUUUAGAGAAACAAACAGGAAUAGAUGCUUUUUAAAAUACUUACCAACAUUCAUAUUUCUUCUCUGAUUUUGAAAAACAUAAUUAAUAAUAAAACACUUGGGAUCAUGCAGCAAAGAUACUUUAUGGGAAUAUUUAUUAUGCAAAUAACUAAAUUAAUUGCAUACAUUUGCAUCCUAUUAAGCAUUGAAAAGUAAAGCAGCUUUAAUAGAAUUAAAUCUACUUUUACCAAAAUGAUCUCAUCUGGCAGGAAGAGUUAGGGCAAGAUUGGUUUGGAUUGAGAUUUUCCAUCCUGCUUAGGAAUUCUAAAGUUCUAUAGAAUGAAAGUUUUUCUUGAUAAUAAUUUUUAAAUCAUAAAAAUGAAAGAAAUGUUAUUAGAAGUCCUACGAUUUCACCACCAACUUCAAUGCCCUAAUGUGGCUAUCCAUACUGCUUUUCCAAUAUCUUCCAAACGUCGAUUAUGGAUUUAUAUAAGUUUUUUCUACUAAAUUAUGUCUUACAGACAUUAUUGAAACAGUAUACUUGCUAAACAUCUGUGAAUUUUGUGUAAGAGUAAGGUCCCAAGAUUUUCUAAAGUUUGAAAGACAGUCAUGCUCUGGAGUCACCCUCUGGGCUCGAUGCGAUGGUGCCCAACGAAUACCUCCAGCCUGCUGGGGCUGGAGCUCCUGUCUCAGUCUAACCCUGCCCAGUAAGGAGCUGACUCAGCCCACACUGCUCAGGAGGCCCUGGGGCCCUCUGGGCUUGCAGGUAUUCCUGCCCUCAGCUGGGGCCAGCCCAGGCUUCGGUGAUGCGGUUUCCUCUUCAGAGGGCACUCUCGGGCCUCUCUCAGGACGUCUCCACCCCACACACGCUGCUGCCCACACCUCCUUUCAGGGAAGGGGCGCAGAUACCUCCCAUCUUCUUUCCUACACCUCAGCUUUGCUCCCUUCCCCUUUUACUCUGCACACCAUGGCAAUUUUCACCCCUUUUUGGACAAAAAUUUCCUGACAGGACUUAACCUCCCUGGCACUUAAAAUCUGAACUCUAACCUAUGUUAUUUGCAACAGAAAGAAAAGUGCUUUUAUCUGUCCUUUCAGGUAAAUUAUUUAUUUAUGUUUUUCUUUAUAGCGCCACCGUUCAGAUUUGCUGGAUUUGGAGACAAAAUCCAGGUUUGAAUUGUGAUUCUAUUUCUUACUGCUCCGUGGCCUGGGGCAGCCAGGUCAGCUCUCUGAGCCCUGUGGUCUGCAUGGCUGAGUGAGAAUGCCCACCUCCACUGAGAACCAGCCAGUGAGGUGCCAGCAACCCAUCUAACACAGGCAAAGAGGAUUUCUUAAUGAAAACAUUUUGUCUUGCACAAAACAAUACUCAAUUUAAGAAACAGCAAAUGCAGAAAAGGAAAAAGAGGAUUAGAAAACUAUAGAAAGAGCUCAGUGCAUGGCAAGAGUUUAAUGAAUAUUAGUUCUUCCCAUUUAGUUUUGCUUUCCAACCCACUAAGCAUGCUUCGAAAGACAGAGAAGAAAGAGGGGUUACAGCAAAAGCAGUGAUAAGAGUUUCUUGCAUCUUCACAGAUCAAGCAUCUUGGUCUGCAACCAGGUUUGUCUGAACAAAGGGUUAGGAGCCAAAGUUUGGGGUGGUGAAAGCCAUGGGGCCCAUGUUAGGCUGAGGACAAGUGUGCAUAUGGGUGGCAGGUGGCUUUGCCCAGAAUGAACUGGAGGGUGACGAUCCUGGAUCUGGCAGUGAAGCGGCAGUGUCUCUGCUCAGCCGGAGCGGGAGGUGUGGAGCCACUUCGUCACACUCUCAGCUGCACGGCUUUGGGCCACAGCCUGUAGACACCGGUG
ensembl:lncRNA novel transcript